CAUUACCGAGUUUACAACUCCCAAACCCCUGUGAACAUACCUUAAUGUUGCCUCGGCGGAUCAGCCCGCGCCCCGUAAAACGGGACGGCCCGCCAGAGGACCCAAACUCUAAUGUUUCUUAUUGUAACUUCUGAGUAAAACAAACAAAUAAAUCAAAACUUUCAACAACGGAUCUCUUGGUUCUGGCAUCGAUGAAGAACGCAGCAAAAUGCGAUAAGUAAUGUGAAUUGCAGAAUUCAGUGAAUCAUCGAAUCUUUGAACGCACAUUGCGCCCGCUGGUAUUCCGGCGGGCAUGCCUGUUCGAGCGUCAUUUCAACCCUCAAGCCCCCGGGUUUGGUGUUGGGGAUCGGCUCUGCCCUUCUGGGCGGUGCCGCCCCCGAAAUACAUUGGCGGUCUCGCUGCAGCCUCCAUUGCGUAGUAGCUAACACCUCGCAACUGGAACGCGGCGCGGCCAUGCCGUAAAACCCCAACUUCUGAAUGUUGACCUCGGAUCAGGUAGGAAUACCCGCUGAACUUAAGCAUAUCAAUAAGCGGAGGAAAAGAAACCAACAGGGAUUGCCCUAGUAACGGCGAGUGAAGCGGCAACAGCUCAAAUUUGAAAUCUGGCUUUCGGGCCCGAGUUGUAAUUUGUAGAGGAUACUUUUGAUGCGGUGCCUUCCGAGUUCCCUGGAACGGGACGCCAUAGAGGGUGAGAGCCCCGUCUGGUUGGAUGCCAAAUCUCUGUAAAGUUCCUUCGACGAGUCGAGUAGUUUGGGAAUGCUGCUCUAAAUGGGAGGUAUAUG
rnacentral:rRNA from 1 species